GAUGAACGCUGGCGGCGUGCCUAAUACAUGCAAGUCGAGCGAACGGACGAGAAGCUUGCUUCUCUGAUGUUAGCGGCGGACGGGUGAGUAACACGUGGAUAACCUACCUAUAAGACUGGGAUAACUUCGGGAAACCGUAGCUAAUACCGGAUAAUAUUUUGAACCGCAUGGUUCAAAAGUGAAAGACGGUCUUGCUGUCACUUAUAGAUGGAUCCGCGCUGCAUUAGCUAGUUGGUAAGGUAACGGCUUACCAAGGCAACGAUGCAUAGCCGACCUGAGAGGGGGGUCGGCCCACCGGGGACCGGGUCCCGGGCCGGCCCCCCUCGGGGGGCCGGAGGGGGGAACUUCCCCGGAGGGGGCAAAACCUUGACGGACCAGCGCCGGGGGGUGUAUGAGGGUGUUGGGACCUUAAAACUUUUUUAUUGGGGAAAAACAUAUGUGAAAGUACUUGUCCACACCUUGCCGGUCCUAAAUAAGAAACCCACGGCUAACUCCGCC
rnacentral:rRNA from 1 species